UCUGUGUUUUUAAGAGAACUCUGCAUUCGUACUUAAUGCGGGCAGAGGCUUGUUUCCUGGGCAGAGCUGCAUGGUAUGCAAAUCAGCAGCUCUGGGAGAUAAAAAUCUCACAGGCUGAAUGGAUUUUCUGCGGGCCAAAGGGCAUUUACAAAUUAAUUGCAAAGCUGCCCUCUGACACUGUUGUGAAGUAGGUUAGCAACUCGCCCAAAGUCACAUUGCUUCUGAAUCGCCGGCCCGAGAGAGGAGCCUCUUCCCUGGAAGCCUUCCCAGCGCUCCACACUUGGCUGUCUGGUUUCUCCUCACCACAUUGUACGAAUGAAAUGGAAGGUUGUGAAGCCAAAGAUUAAGACGUCACUUAGGAGAUUCUACUACACUGAUCCGGGGGAGAUUCGAAGAAACCGUCAGUGGGGACCGGCGAGUGGUGAAAGAGGUGAUCUGCCUUCACUGAGGCUCUGGAACUUGAUCAUCAUCUGUAAUUUUUUGCUCUCUCUCAUCACCAAGUUGCAGCAAUUUCAUCCUCGAAAUGACACUUGAAUCCAUCACUUCCUUUCUAUUUCAGUCAUCACAAUUCUGGGUCAGGCUCCCAUUAUCUCUGACUUAGAUGACUGCAAAAGCUUUUUAACCAGUCUUUCUCUCUCCAGUCUUUUCUCACUGCUUUUGGAGUUUUCUAGACUGUAUGUGUAUCUGAUCAUAUCACGGUCCCGCUCAAAAACUUCAAACUCAUUAUUGCUUAUAAGAACCACCUGCCAUGAUGGGAUGUAGACAACACAUGGGGUGGUGCAAAGGACUGGUUUGAAUGGUGGAAGCUUUGGAUUCACUUAUGGCCAGGUCUAGUUAUCCUUGUGAUCGUACGAGUUUCUCUAGCGACUUCUUGCUUCUUCAACUAUAAAACAGUAGAGUAUAAAUAGAUGUUCUUACAGGUCCCCUCCAGUUGUAGGUAUCUCAGUGGCCACAUUUCCACUUUUCUAGCCUCCUACUUUACCGGUCAGUCUUGACUUCCAGCAGUAUAACUGUGGUACCAUAAACACAUUCUGCGCUCUCUUGUGUGUCAUGGCUUCACAAUCACAUUUGUUUAACAAGUGCUUCCUUUCCUACCUGUCACUGAUUUCCCCUGUUGAAAUCUUACUCAUCUCUCAAGACCCACAUCAGAUUCAGCCUUCUCCACCAGUCCUCUCAUGAUCUCUUCCGUUGAAAUAAAUCAUUCCCUUGUAGAUGCUCUCGGAGCAUUUUCUUUAUAAAUCUUUGGUGGUUUUCUGCAGUUGUCCAAGUAGCUAUUUCUUUCUCCCCAGUGUACUUUAAAAUCCUUAAGGGGGAGGGUGCAUGUGUAUUCUUAUUUAUAUGUCUCCAUCUUGACACUUAACACCUGGCAAGAUCUCAGUUGAUAAAUGUUGCUUAACUGAAUGGACAUAAUA